rnacentral:lncRNA from 1 species
CAGAGCACUCUUCCAUCUGUAGAUGUCUCGGCUGCUCUACAAGGGAGUCCCAUUUCAGGUGUGGUGCUGGGCAUGGUCACUCCUGCUGAAUGUCUAGAAGGUGAAAACCAAGGACCUAGGGAAAUACCAGGUACAGCCUUUCCACCCUCAUCCAGAGCGGGACAAACAGGCCAGGCGGUGUCAGGAGCACAGGUCUCCAGCUGGAGGGAGUGUCAGCCCUGCAGUAGGAGUCCAUCACGCAUCCUAGGCACAUAUGCUAAUGUAGGUAUCACAGGUAAGCUGGGCUUGGUACCCUUCCCUGGCCUCAGAAGGAGGACAAACAAGGAGCUUUCUGCAGAAUGAAACCUUUUCCAUCCAGAAGCACUGCUGACUGUUUGGUGGUUCCCAUUUGUGGCAGUGAGCUUUUUUUCCAUCCCGAGGUUGGGCUGGUUUCUCCUCUUGGCCCUGCCCUACAGACCAUAAAGGAGAACAGCAAGAGGCUCCCAGCAAACAUCCACAGAUUGCCCUGGACAUCAGCCACAUUCUGAGAAACAUGUCAUGUUCUGGGAGGGCUAAGGCAUCAAGUAAGGCCUAUGGUGCUGGAGGAUCCCAGGGCAGGUGGGCAAUCCAUAGCCGUGGGGGCUUCCCAUGGGAAUCAGGAGGUCUCAAGGCAGAGGGAGGGGUUCCACAGGAGGAGUCACAGAGCCACCAAGGGCUCUCCUGGCCCAGGGAGCAGCCAACACCAUGGACUGAACACCUGCUGGACUCCAAGCCCUGGGCCAGGCUGGGGCAUGUGGGGCCAGGAGGCAGCUCAGAGUGGGAAGCAGAGAGAGAAAUGUGCUCAGAGGGCACCUGUUUCUGGAUGUAAUGUGGUCCUGAGAUUGUGGCUGGGAAGUGCUUCCAGGGUUACAUAUGUGUUACGCAACUGCUUCCUCUCCCCAGCCUCACUCUGCAGGAAUUCAAGUGACUAUAUUGCCACCAUCUUGGAGCUCACUGCCCUCAGUGUAAUGGCACCAGUAGAUCUGCCUGUGCACAGACUUCCUGUACUACCCACUCUUGAGGGGUGAUGCUUCUGCCUCACCAUAUGCUCAGGCCUAUGACCGGAUGCACAACUUUAGACACCAUCAUCCUGGAGCAGCUCUGCACCCUCACUAGCCAGGGUGUUGACAUCCUCAAGGCCAAGGCCACAUUCAAGACUUUGGAUUUCAUUGAUGCACUUGUCCUGAGCAAAGUGGGCAUCUCUGGGAUCUUAAUUCAGGAGGUAGAAUGCAGCUUGAGAUCAAGUGUCUGAUCAAAGAACUUGAACUUGAUCUGGAGGGCUCUGGGGAGCCAGGAAGGUGCUGGAUAAAGAAGGGACUGUCAGAUAUGUUUUAGAGAUGACUGUAGAAGGCUUCCUGAAAGGAGUGAACAAGAGCCAGGAGACCAGGGAGGGAGCUUGUGGGUCAGGUCUGGAGAUGGCAAGGGAGGAAUCCUGCUUGGAUGAAAGGUCUUCAGGGACCGUCUCAGGUUAACACUUAGGUGCCCUCAGAGCUAGUGUGUUCAGAGGUCUUGUCUCCAGGAUGAAAAUGAGAAGGAGUUGUCAGAUAAGAACAUAUAAAUGGAGGCUGGCAUCUUCAUGAGUGCCAAUCGUGGUCCCGGUGUGGACUGCUGUGGGAACAGGGGUCUCUCCAUCCAGAGACAUGGUGGUUGGACCCUACAUCACUCCAUUCUGCCCUUCCUUUCCCUCCCAUUCUCCCCGAGGGCCUCAGUGAUGGGCGCUGUCCAUCCUCUGGUGCUGAAGCAGCCCAGAAACCCAAGCCUGCCUGGCUGCCUCUUAGGAUACGACAGCACAGCCAGUGGCCUCUACUGGAUCCUGUACAACCUCACAAGACACCCAGGCAGUGGGAGUGCUGGCAGCAUGUGGUACAAGAGUUCCAAGGGACCACAAUCCUGAAGACAUUGAAUGGUGGGUGCAGGGCUUCAUGGCCUGUUCCCUAGGCCCUCUCAUUGGCUCUGCUCCAGGUGGUGAAGGGGGAUAACUUCUCUGUCAAUUCUGCCAUGAUUGCCUAGCAGGAAAAGGAGUAGAGCCCAGAAGCGCAAGGCCUGGUAUCCAGCCUGCCUAACAAGGGAGAAUUUGUAGGCUUUGUGGACAGAAAGAUCUGGGAGUCCAUAUCACCCACUAACUUGCUGAGACAUUAGUAAAAUCAGUUUUCUUUUCUGAACUAUGUUUCUGUCAUCUGUAAAUUGAGAGGAAUUUCUUUUACCCCACAAGGCUGCUUGGAGAAUUAGUGACAGUGUGUGUAGAGCAGCAGGCAUUUGGUGUCCAGACCACUCCUCUUCCCCCUUGUUUUCAGCCUAAAUUUGCAUUUUGUUCCCAAGACCUUCACUCCCCUUAAUUUUGUUCUUCCCUCUGAUUCCCACCUUGUCAUCUAUCCCAUGGAAUCACCAGGAUCAAAGUGGAUAACAGUCGUGUAUGCAUGUAUGUGUAUAUACAUAUGCACUGUGUUGGUGUUGGGGUGUGGUGUGUGAUUAUGUGUAUGUGUGUUGGAGUUACUGAGUGACUGAAACUCCUACACCAGGCUGUGUUUCUGCUCAUUGCUGGAGGUGCUGUCAGGGGCCCUGCCCUCAACCCCAGGUCUGACCCUUGCAGUACAGGCAGGACAUUCUGGAGGAAUCAUGCCCUUGGAAGAAUCCCUGAGGAGUGACUGGUGGGUAUUGGUGGAUAAAUACUCCAGCUCCCUUGCUCUGGGUGGGAUGACUCUGAGGCACAUGUUCUAUGCUGUCUCUCAGAGGUACCUGGCUGGGCUGAGUCCUGGCUGCCACAGUGGAAACUUUCUUGAUGAAGCUCCCUUUAACUGCUGCAUUCCUUUCCUGUCUCAGUUCCCCACUCCUCUACUGGUGUUUCCUGGGAUUAGCACCCUAAGGAAGAAUUGGCAGUCGAAUUACUGUCCUAGAGUCAUCUCCAAAUAAAAUGUUUAUAUUUGAAUCUUUGCCUCAGGAUCUACUUCCCGGAAACUCAAACUAAGACACACAUUUUUCUUUUGGCUCCUCCAGUCCCUAUAGACCUGUCAUCCUGCUGUUUUUACCAAAAAGGAAUGUGAGGAUCAGAGAGGGCAAGUUAUUUGCCCCAAAUCACACAGCUGAACAGUGGAGGAGUUCAACUUUGACCAUGGACUGUCUGGCCCCAAGGUGGAUGCUUGCUCCUCUCCCAUGAGACUCCUCCCUUAUCAGGUUCAAAUAAAUGAAUGGAGGACAUUAAAAGUAGGGUCUCUGAUGCCUGUGCCAGAGAAAGUUCAGGCUCAUGGCUGGUGCCUGUGUUCUCAUUCUUACCUCAUUAAGAGUAAUAAUGAAAAACAUGCUCAGUGCUGACCGUGUGCCUGGGAGUGUUGUUAUUACACACUUUGCUUACUUUAAUUAAUUUUCACAAUAGCCUUGUUUUUACUUCUAGUUUUUAGGUGAAAAAACUGGGAGAGUUGCCAAAAUUCAUACCGCUGGUCCAGGUUUGAACCAAGCAGUCUGCACCUAGAGUCCUUGUUUGUAACCAUGGCACCCUGGCUUCACACACAUCUCAUCGUGGAGUUCCACCUUGUGUCAGGCAUGGCACUGAGCAGCUUCUUUUAAGAACAUAAUUUGUAAUUAUAUAGAUUACUAAUUCUACUUCAAAAUGCCACACAGCCUUCAGGUGAUAAAAGGAAAUAAUUGGUAAGUGGAAGCACUGAAAACAUUCUUUUUUCCACUCGCAAGUCCAUUGCAACAGUUGGGACAGUGUUUUCUCUGUGCCUAUAGAAACCUCAGCUCCUGUGCCAGGCAGGGGCCUCAUCUGUUUUGUUUCUCCUGUGGCCUGGGUCCUGGAACUGUGUCUCAUACAGUGUAGGUGCCCAAGGGAAGUUUACUGUUGAAAAACUGUCUACCUGGGAGACGUUACUGUUAGUCUAACCUGUACCACUUUGUAAACCUCCAGCCAUUUUGCAGACCCUGGUCAGAGUGAAACGUUCUAUGGGAACUCGGGCCGUGAGAAGCAUCCUUCCUAACCACCUGACUGUAGAAACAUCCUUAUCACAUCCUCCCGGUCAAAGGCCCAACAGCCUGACUGCAGGAACAUCCUUGCCAUAUCCUGCCGGGCAGCAAGCUCUACCGCCCAGACCCCUCCCUCCCAGUCCCAUGAUUGCCCCAGCCUGUGAGCGGCAGUUGGUGCUGGCACUAAGCUGGUUUCCCCCACCGCAGGGUUUUGCUAGCAAUAAAGGUGUUGUUGUUGAGGCUGCCAG